rnacentral:rRNA from 1 species
AUUGAACGCUGGCGGCAGGCCUAACACAUGCAAGUCGAACGAGUGGCGGACGGGUGAGUAAUGUCUGGGAAACUGCCUGAUGGAGGGGGAUAAGUAGUGGAAACGGUAGCUAAUACCGCAUACCAUCGGAUGUGCCCAGAGGGGAUUAGCUGGUUGGUGGGGUAACGGCUCACCAAGGCGACGAUCCCUAGCUGGUCUGAGAGGAUGACCAGCCACACUGGAACUGAGACACGGCCUGGACUCCUACGGGAGGCAGCAGUUGGGAAUCUUGCACAAGGGGCGCAAGCCUGAUGCAGCCAUGCCGCGUGUAUGAAGAAGGCUUUCGGUUUGUAAAGUACUUUCAGCGGUGAGGCGUUACCCGCAGAGGAAGCCCCGGCUAACUCCGUGCCAGCCGCCGCGGUAAUAC